AAGCCUUUUUUCAAUGAGAAAUGUAUGAAUUUCUGCUAUUUUCCACUUUGACUGUACUAAAAAAUAUUCCUAAGCAGGUAGGAGGGUGCUGAAUUGCUUUCAGGCAUUUCUUUGUGGCUGUGAACAUUUGAGAUUUAGAAAACACAUAAAUAUACUUUAUAGCAUAAAAACUUGGCAAUGAAAUAGGCUGUUUUUCUAAGAAUCAUUACUGUUUCCUGUAAGCUGCACUAUGUAGAAAGGCCUGGAAUGCAACUCUUUUGCUGGGAUAUAUAGGAAGAGACCAUGUUUGCUGAGCUGAGAGGAUUCA
rnacentral:lncRNA from 1 species